rnacentral:ncRNA from 1 species
UGGUCUGGGCAGAAGCUCUUUGGACCACCGUAGACGGGGAGAAUUCCC